GGAGGAUAUUUCAUCAAGACCUUCUUUCCAGAAAGUUCUUGCAAAUGCAAACAAACAAUCAACGGAAAUUGAAAGUAGGCCGCAUGAUAUCUUACUUGAAGGUUCUUACAUUGACUCAAAAGUGACCUUGUUACAGCUAUGUCACCCUACGAAGACUAUGUUGUGCUCACAUUGGCUCAUGUCAUGAUUUUAUUUAGCUACAUUUCUAGAAGGAUACUAUUCAUUCAACACGGUUUAUACAAUCUAAUGAUCUAUCCUACAUUCAUAACUACAUGUCUAUAUAUAUAGUUCAACUUCUCUAUAAAUAAACACCAUCACUACCAAAAAACAGGUUAUUUGCCACUGCUCUAUGCAGGAAAUAAUAUGAGAAUUAUUUAUACUGAAUACUAUUCUAGCAAGGAAGAUAAACCGGAAGAGUCUAUUCAAUACCUGCAAGUCCUUGAGAUGAACAUCGCCGUGUGUGGGCCAACCUGGUGGAGGACGAGUGUCUUCAACUUGUUUUUCUACAAUUAUCCCUUUCUGCAUUCAAAUGAAAACAUGAAACAACUAAGAGUAUGAUGAUGAUCAAAUUGAAACUUGAUGAUAAAACUUGCAAAACCUAUCUCAAAAUCCCCAAAUCAUGGUCAACAAAUCCCCAAACAACAACAACAACAACAACAGUCAAAUAUACUUCAAAUUGUAGUUAAAAAAGCCAUAAUACUGAACAUAACAACUAUAUAGGAAUCGAUUCAAAGAAGAACAAAUAUGUUCAAAACAAAUAUGAACGCAAUCGAAUAGAAACUGAAGAUCGAAAUGAAACCCUAAUCCAAAAAAAUUCGGCAUACCUUAAACAAUUGAAUUUGAUUAGAAAAUUUGAACUCCGAUUGCUUGACAUUUAAUUUCUCUAUGGAUCGAAGAAAACGACUGGAUUGAUGAAAGAAGAAUGAGAGAUUCCGAUGAAUGAUAAGUAAAAUGUAAUGUUUUAAGAAGAAGAAGCAGAAGAAGAAGGAGAGCUUUCGUUGAUUGAACUUCCGUGGAGCUGAGAAUUUCUUUUUAUCGAACGGGCGGGCUUUAAACGCAAAAGUAAUUUGCCACGGCCCAAUUAA
rnacentral:lncRNA from 1 species